AGGCUGACUGACUAAGGGGAGGGCAGGAAGAGGGAGAGAGAGAGAGCGAGAGAGAGCGAAAGAGAGAGAGAGAGAGAAGAGGGGAGUGAGAACGGGUGAAAGUAGAAGGAGUCCUGCACCAGGAGAGAGCGUGUGUGUAUGUGUGUGUGGAAAAGUGGCAGGCUGUUUCUUUCCUCACUCCUCUCUCUGUUUUUUCUCCUUCUCCUUCUUUUGUUCUUUCAAAUGGCUGAUUCUGUGAGAAGGUGGCUGAUGUGACAGAAACAGAAACAGGAUAAGGCUGACAAACUCAACUCAGAAAGUAAUAAAAAAAUAAGCAAGAAGCUAAAGAAACAAUGAGAAGGUGUGGAGCUAAACAUAUGUCUGUGGGUGUACCCAAAAAGUGCAGAGGAAAAAAGGGAACAUGGAGAGGCAACUUUGUUUGGAAGAAAGGAGAAAGAAGAUACCAGCACAGGGAUUCCCAGGACUGAUGAAACACAGACUAUAGCUGUCUUUAUGAUUUUUAAACAAAUUUUGCCAGCGGAAUCGGCCUAGUCCGCCCCCCAAGCCUCUCUCUGUGUGAUGGCCGAAGGAAGACUGAAUGCUCCUUUUCGGACCGCACUGGUCAGUACCACGCAUGCCACCUCACGCCACCUUCCUCUGCCGCUUUCUCUUUCUCCCUCUCUCUCUCUCUCUCUCUCUCUCUCUCUCUCUCUCUCUCUCUCUCUCUCUCUCUCUCUCUCUCUCACUCACUCACUCCUCUGUCUUUUUUUGUGUGCUGGACUGAGCAUCCCAGGAGGCAGCUUGGCCUCCAUCGUCCAGAAAAGAGAGCGAGCGGUCAAAGCCCACCUGUUCAGCAUUUACAAAGAAGGAACAAAGAAUGACAAGUCUAUAGUACGUUAAAUCUCCCGAGUCUUAUUAAAGGAGCCCCUAUUUUCUUUUCAUGGCUGUGGAGUAACUCCGGUCCGUUUUUUUUUUUUGUAUUUUUUUUUAAAACAUCUGGGAAUUAAGAGAAGAAGAAGAAAUGGAUGGUCUGACCGGUUAAAAAAUGUUUGCAUGACUUAAGCGUGCUAUAUUCACUAAAAUCAUUCAGUUCUUUAAUCUCUUCAACUGUUCCAACCAUCUUCCUUCCCACCGUCUCCCAGCUGUGACUUCAGAAAAGGUUUCCUCUCUCUCUCUCUCUCUCUCUCUCUCUCUCUCUCUCUCUCUCUCUCUCUCUCUCUCUCUCUCUCUCUCUCUCUACUUUACCCCCCUCCAUCCCACCCUCUCCGUCAACGAAAGUCUUUUCAUAAUGAAUGGCAAGGUACGAUAAUAGCCUUGCGGUUUCCAUAGAAACCAGACAGUAGCCCUGUGUGUAUGGCAUAACCCCCCCCCCCCCUCUUUUUUUCUUCCCUCUUUUUUUUUCAAGGGGGCAAAUGAUAGUGGAAUGUGAGGCAAAACACCUCCCUCCCUCCUUCCCUCCCUCCUUCUUACUCCAUGCACUCAUUGCACUGUAUUUGGUUUCCCUUUUUUUCCCCCCUUUAGCCUCUGGUCUGGUACUCAGCCUUAUUUCUUUUUCUAUUAGUGUUACCUUAUUGAAUCUUUUGGAUUUUCUGAAAUUGUCAUCGAAUAAAAUAAAGUAUGAACUGAACCGACUAACGGAACUGAUACGAUCUCUUUACGUUUAAGGUUUUAAAAAAAACGUGUCUGUGUUUUUCUUUCCAUGGAAUCAAUACCAAGUAAAAUGUACAUGAUUAGCUAACACUAUACAUUAAGGUCCAUCAUUGGGAGCAAGUGAUGAAUUCAUUUAUUAAUGAAUAUGACUCAUGAAUGCAUGGACUAACCCUUAAAUGAAUCAUACACACGAUAAAUGUUCAAAUGACUGUUACUGUACCUCCUAAUGAAUAGUGUGACUGCAGUAUUAUUAAAGAUCGUUUAUGUUGUUGAUAUAUAUAUACACGAAAUCAUAAUGUCAUUUCAGCUCAGCUUCAGCUUUUUUCUAUUUGAUUUCCAUCACCUUAAUUAAGCCAUAUUAAUAACUUUUGUUGACAUAUGCCAUGAUUCAUACUGUGUGCUAUAAUGAAUCAAUAUCCAUAGAAAUUCCCUUCAAAAACAAACAAACAAACAAACAAACAAAUAAAUAAAUAAAAAAAGAAAUCAAUAUAGUUGUUAGAAUUCUGAUCACAGCAAUUUAAUUUACACUUUACAAAAUGUAACUUAAACUCCCAAAUGACCUCAACUCACUUGAUCAGUUUAAGCUUGCUUAAGCUUGGGCACAAGGUUUAUUUUAUUCAUUAUUAUCCAAAUUCUGUCCUACUGUAAACAAAUAACUUUAACUUAAAGAUUAGUUUAGUUUCAUGCGUUAAAGAGGUUUAUAUCAAUACUAAUACUUUAUAGGCUAUGUCUACUCUACAGUCUACUAAACUAAAUGACACUUCAUUCUCAGAUAGAUAGAUAGAUAGAUAGAUAGAUAGAUAGAUAGAUAGAUAGAUAGAUAGAUAGAUAGAUAGAUAGAUAGAUAGAUAGAUAGAUAGAUAGAUAGAUGGGUGGGUGGGUGGAUGGAUGGAUGGCAGCAUAACACUAAAAUUAAAGCAAAUACAGAUGUAUGCUAAGACAAGAGAUACAGAAGGAGUAUAUUGUGAUUUAUGGAGCUUAAUGGUUGGUUUUUCCAGCUAAAUAACUUUAGAUAGCUACUGUAAAUGUACCUGGAUACAUGGUCAUGAUUGCAGAUUAAAAAGAAUUUCAACCAUGCAAUGUAUGAUGUAUAUAUAAUGAUAUAUAAUGUAUCUGAAAUUCCUUUACAAACAAUAAAAGUGUUACUCUUUGCUAA